GACGUAGGGUCCGAGCGUUGUCCGGAGUUACUGGGUGUAAAGCGCGCGUAGGCGGUAGGCCAAGUCUGCUGUGAAAUCGCCCGGCUCAACUGGGCGCGGUCGGUGGAAACUGGUCAACUGGAGGACGGUAGAGGCGAGUGGAAUUCCCGGUGUAGUGGUGAAAUGCGUAGAGAAUCGGGAGGAACACCAGUGGCGAAGGCGGCUCGCUGGGCCGGACCUGACGCUGAGGCGCGAAGGACGUGGGGAGCGAACAGG
rnacentral:rRNA from 1 species